GUCUGCGGCCACGCCACCCUGAACACGCCCGAUCCGGCUGAUCUCCGACGCUAAGCAGGGUCGGGCCUGGUGAGUACUUGGAUGGGAGACCGCCCGGGAAGACCAGGUGCAGUAGGUG
rnacentral:rRNA from 1 species